UAACCUAUCUAGCGAUGGAUAGCUGAACAGUCAGAAGUCAGCAGAGGUCAUAGUACUCAAACAGCUUAAGAUGUUUUGGGGAAGGAC
rfam:Bacillus azotoformans LMG 9581 contig42, whole genome shotgun sequence.